rnacentral:rRNA from 1 species
UGCAAGUCGAACGGUGAAAGAGAGCUUGCUCUCUGGAUCAGUGGCGAACGGGUGAGUAACACGUGAGCAAUCUGCCCCUGACUCUGGGAUAACAGUUGGAAACAGCUGCUAAUACCGGAUACGAGCUGUGAAGGCAUCUUCAACAGCUGGAAAGAACUUCGGUCAGGGAUGAGCUCGCGGCCUAUCAGCUAGUUGGUGAGGUAAUGGCUCACCAAGGCGUCGACGGGUAGCCGGCCUGAGAGGGUGACCGGCCACACUGGGACUGAGACACGGCCCAGACUCCUACGGGAGGCAGCAGUGGGGAAUAUUGCACAAUGGGCGCAAGCCUGAUGCAGCAACGCCGCGUGAGGGACGACGGCCUUCGGGUUGUAAACCUCUUUUAGCAAGGAAGAAGCGAAAGUGACGGUACUUGCAGAAAAAGCGCCGGCUAACUACGUGCCAGCAGCCGCGGUAAUACGUAGGGCGCAAGCGUUAUCCGGAAUUAUUGGGCGUAAAGAGCUCGUAGGCGGUUUGUCGCGUCUGCUGUGAAAACUGGGGGCUCAACCCCCAGCCUGCAGUGGGUACGGGCAGACUAGAGUGCGGUAGGGGAGAUUGGAAUUCCUGGUGUAGCGGUGGAAUGCGCAGAUAUCAGGAGGAACACCGAUGGCGAAGGCAGAUCUCUGGGCCGUAACUGACGCUGAGGAGCGAAAGGGUGGGGAGCAAACAGGCUUAGAUACCCUGGUAGUCCACCCCGUAAACGUUGGGAACUAGUUGUGGGGUCCAUUCCACGGAUUCCGUGACGCAGCUAACGCAUUAAGUUCCCCGCCUGGGGAGUACGGCCGCAAGGCUAAAACUCAAAGGAAUUGACGGGGACCCGCACAAGCGGCGGAGCAUGCGGAUUAAUUCGAUGCAACGCGAAGAACCUUACCAAGGCUUGACAUAUACGAGAACGGGCCAGAAAUGGUCAACUCUUUGGACACUCGUAAACAGGUGG